rnacentral:rRNA from 1 species
CGUAGGGGGCUAGCGUUGUCCGGAUUUAUUGGGCGUAAAGAGCGCGUAGGCGGCCGAGUAAGUCCGACGUGAAAUCUGGAGGCUCAACCUCCAGCGGUCGUUGGAAACUACCCGGCUAGAGUCCGGAAGAGGAGAGUGGAAUUCCUGGUGUAGCGGUGAAAUGCGCAGAUAUCAGGAAGAACACCGAUGGCGAAAGCAGCUCUCUGGGACGGUACUGACGCUGAGGCGCGAAAGCGUGGGGAGCGAACAGGAUUAGAUACCCUGGUAGUCCACGCCGUAAACGAUGGGUGCUAGGUGUGGGCGGUGUCGACUCCGCCCGUGCCGAAGCUAACGCAUUAAGCACCCCGCCUGGGGGAGUACGGCCGCAAGGCUA